rnacentral:ncRNA from 1 species
CCUGUCAUGCGACUGACAGUAGCCUAGGGAGACAUGCGUCGCUGGUAACGGCGGGGUAUGAAGCUCUCCUGACAACGUAGCCCCCGCAAGGGUGCGUCCCUAUCGUGAGAUAGGGGCGUAGAGACUCCGAGCAGCAAUGGGGUCGAGGAG